AUCCUUCUGUGGUUCAUAAACAUGAUGAUUGGGUUUUCACACUAAUAUGUGAGAUGUGUCUCCUUCAAACCAUGUUAUAACAUCAGUACAUUACCCAUCUGAUG